rnacentral:tRNA from 1 species
GCCUGGGUGGCUCAGUCGGUUAAGCAUCUGACUUCAGUUCAGGUCAUGAUCUCAUAGUUUGUGGGUUCGAGCCCCACAUAGGGCU